AGCGAACGCUGGCGGCAGGCUUAACACAUGCAAGUCGAGCGGGCAUCCUUGUGGUGUCAGCGGCAGACGGGUGAGUAACGCGUGGGAACGUGCCCUUCGGUUCGGAAUAACUCAGGGAAACUUGAGCUAAUACCGGAUACGUGCGAGAGCAGAAAGGUUUAUCUGCCGAAGGAUCGGCUCGCGUCUGAUUAGCUAGUUGGUGAGGUUAUGGCUCACCAAGGCGACGAUCAGUAGCUGGUCUGAGAGGAUGAUCAGCCACACUGGGACUGAGACACGGCCCAGACUCCUACGGGAGGCAGCAGUGGGGAAUAUUGGACAAUGGGGGCAACCCUGAUCCAGCCAUGCCGCGUGAGUGAUGACGGCCUUAGGGUUGUAAAGCUCUUUUCUUCGGGACGAUAAUGACGGUACCGGAGGAAUAAGCCCCGGCUAACUUCGUG
rnacentral:rRNA from 1 species